GACAGAGGGUGCAAACGUUGUUCGGAAUUACUGGGCGUAAAGCGCGUGUAGGCGGCUAUGCAAGUCGGAUGUGAAAGCCCUCGGCUCAACCGGGGAAGUGCACCCGAAACUGCAAAGCUAGAGUCUCGGAGAGGAUCGUGGAAUUCUCGGUGUAGAGGUGAAAUUCGUAGAUAUCGAGAGGAACACCGGUGGCGAAGGCGGCGAUCUGGACGACGACUGACGCUGAGACGCGAAAGCGUGGGGAGCAAACAGG
rnacentral:rRNA from 1 species